GCGCUCUAAGACUAUGCAUAUUUGGGCAUAGUUUGGGAAAGCCUCAGAAGAAAAAAAAACACGCAUUCCAAAGAAAGGUAGAAAGGUAAAUGUAUGGAAAUACUUUGCUUGGAACUCACGACUUUGUAUUCGGGACCCACGCCUUUUUACCCACGACCCACGCCUUUUUACCCACGACCCACGCCUUUUUACCCACGACCCACGCCUUUUUACCCACGACCCACGCCUUUUUACCCACGACUCACGACUUUUUACCCACGACCCACGACUUUUUACCCACGACCCACGACAUUCUACCCACGACCCACGACUGUUAGCUAGUCCCAAUUUUCAGGAGGGGUGAGACCACAGCAUUAGUUAAAACAAAAUGGCUUCCAUUUCGUCUAAGAAGAAGCGAAAAGACGAAAUUAUUCAACAAGAUAGCGACGAAAGUUCUUCAAGCGAUGAAGAAAGCGGUAAUUCUGAAUCAGAUAUCGAUCCUGAACUGGUAAGAAAUGUAAUAAAUCGCGUGUAUUAAGAGAUAUUUGACUUUGUAUGCUGUACAUAUUCGAAUCAGUAUUCGGCUGCACUUUUGCACGUGGUGUUAAGCGGUGUUUGUUUAUAUCUUUAAUUUGUAACAACAAAUUUAGGAAAUUCAAGUUGAAUUUGAAGCAAGAGCUCCUGAAGCUUCAGAUUUUGCUGGAAUAAAAAGAUUAUUACAGCAAGUAAGUAAAUCAAAAAAUCAACACU